GCGGACGUGGUGCAGGGUGCACGAUUGCCCUCAAUAUAUGAGCUUAGCGCAGGCUGUUGAAGCAGUCCAACGGGGUUCGAUUCCCCACGUCCGCA